rnacentral:misc_RNA from 1 species
UGGUUCUGGCAUCGAUGAAGAACGCAGCGAAAUGCGAUAAGUAAUGUGAAUUGCAGAAUUCAGUGAAUCAUCGAAUCUUUGAACGCACAUUGCGCCCGCUAGUAUUCUAGCGGGCAUGCCUGUUCGAGCGUCAUUUCAACCCUCAAGCACUGCUUGGUGUUGGGGCCCUACAGCUUCUGUAGGCCCUGAAAACUAGUGGCGGGCUCGCUAUAACUCCGAGCGUAGUAGUAACAUCUCGCUUAGGACGUGAUGGCGGGAUCCGGCCGUUAAACCCCCCAAUUUUCUGAAGGUUGACCUCGGAUCAGGUAGGAAUACCCGCUGA